rnacentral:rRNA from 1 species
UGGAGAGUUUGAUCCUGGCUCAGGAUGAACGCUGGCGGCGUGCCUAAUACAUGCAAGUCGAGCGAAUGGAUURAGAGCUUGCUCUYAWGAAGUUAGCGGCGGACGGGUGAGUAACACGUGGGUAACCUGCCCAUAAGACUGGGAUAACUCCGGGAAACCGGGGCUAAUACCGGAUAAYAUUUUGAACUGCAUGGUUCGAAAUUGAAAGGCGGCUUCGGCUGUCACUUAUGGAUGGACCCGCGUCGCAUUAGCUAGUUGGUGAGGUAACGGCUCACCAAGGCAACGAUGCGUAGCCGACCUGAGAGGGUGAUCGGCCACACUGGGACUGAGACACGGCCCAGACUCCUACGGGAGGCAGCAGUAGGGAAUCUUCCGCAAUGGACGAAAGUCUGACGGAGCAACGCCGCGUGAGUGAUGAAGGCUUUCGGGUCGUAAAACUCUGUUGUUAGGGAAGAACAAGUGCUAGUUGAAUAAGCUGGCACCUUGACGGUACCUAACCAGAAAGCCACGGCUAACUACGUGCCAGCAGCCGCGGUA